UACGAAGGGUGCGAGCGUUAAUCGGAAUUACUGGGCGUAAAGCGUGCGCAGGCGGUUUUGUAAGUUUGUCGUGAAAUCCCCGGGCUCAACCUGGGAAUGGCGAUGAAGACUGCAAGGCUAGAAUCUGGCAGAGGGGGGUAGAAUUCCACGUGUAGCAGUGAAAUGCGUAGAGAUGUGGAGGAACACCGAUGGCGAAGGCAGCCCCCUGGGUCAAGAUUGACGCUCAUGAC
rnacentral:rRNA from 1 species